UACGAAGGGGGCGAGCGUUGUUCGGAUUUACUGGGCGUAAAGGGCGCGUAGGCGGCCCUCCUUGUCGCGUGUGAAAGCCCCGGGCUCAACCUGGGGAAUUGCGCGCGAAACGGGGGGGCUUGAGUUCGGGAGAGGAGCGUGGAAUUCCCAGUGUAGAGGUGAAAUCGUAGAUAUUGGGAAGAACACCGGUGGCGAAGGCGGCGCU
rnacentral:rRNA from 1 species